GGGGCUGAACGGUUUCGACUUCGCGCAUCGAAUCAAGGGAAGCGUGCCGGUGCAGGCAAGAGACCACCGUAAGCGUCGUUGCGACCAAAUAAGCGCCGAUUCACAUCAGCGCGACUACGCUCUCGCUGCCUAAGCGACGGCUAGUCUGUCAGACCGGGAACGCCCUCGGCCCGGACCCUGGCAUCAGCUAGAGGGAUCCACCGAUGAGUCCGGUCGCGGGACUCCUCGGGACAACCACAGCGACUGGGAUCGUCAUCUCGGCUAGUUCGCGUGACCGGGGGAUCCGAGCAGAGGCAUAGCGAACUGCGCACGGAGAAGCCUUGAGGGAAUGCCGUAGGACCCGGGUUCGAUUCCCGGCAGCUCCACC
rnacentral:tmRNA from 1 species